GAUGAAGAACGUAGCAAAAUGCGAUAAGUAAUGUGAAUUGCAGAAUUCAGUGAAUCAUCGAAUCUUUGAACGCACAUUGCGCCCGCCAGUAUUCUGGCGGGCAUGCCUGUUCGAGCGUCAUUUCAACCCUCAAGCACAGCUUGGUGUUGGGACUCGCGUUAAUUCGCGUUCCCCAAAUUGAUUGGCGGUCACGUCGAGCUUCCAUAGCGUAGUAGUAAAACCCUCGUUACUGGUAAUCGUCGCGGCCACGCCGUUAAACCCCAACUUCUGAAUGUUGACCUCGGAUCAGGUAGGAAUACCCGCUGAACUUAAGCAUAUCAAUAAGCCGGAGGA
rnacentral:misc_RNA from 1 species